rnacentral:tRNA from 1 species
GGAGAGAUGGCCGAGUGGUUGAAGGCGACGGUCUUGAAAACCGCUAGGGGUGCAAGCUCCUCGGGGGUUCGAAUCCCUCUCUCUCCGCCA